ensembl:miRNA
UUCAGGUCAUAUAAGUGUGGAGUUGGCUAGACUACUGGUAAUGACACCCCCACUUGCAUGACCCUGAG